rnacentral:rRNA from 1 species
AUACGGAGGGAGCAAGCGUUAUUCGGAAUCACUGGGCGUAAAGGACGCGUAGGCGGGUUUGUAAGUCAGGUGUGAAAUCCUACAGCUCAACUGUAGGACUGCACUUGAAACUACAGACCUAGAGUAUGGAAGGGGCAGAUGGAAUUAGUGGUGUAGGGGUAAAAUCCGUAGAUAUCACUAGGAAUACCGAAAGCGAAGGCGAUCUGCUGGGACAUUACUGACGCUGAGGCGUGAAAGCGUGGGGAGCAAACAGGAUUAGAAACCCGGGUAGUCC